GCUCUUGCGGGCAGGACCCUGCUAGAGGCUGCUGACCUCGAGAAGGGGGCAUGAGACCUAGCUGAUACCAGCGGCAGGGGCCGGGGGCCAGGCUGCGGGAGGGACAGCUGGAGCCCGGGAGGGGCCGGGAGCAGAGCAACUGCCCGCGGCUCUGCCAGGGUGCCAGGCGGCUGUCGGGGAGCCCCCCGCAGUGUAUGCGCUCCUCCCCCCACCACGUGGUGGCUCUUAAAAGAGCCUUUGUGUUUGCAAGUGAGCGCGGCACGGGGUUCACUGCCGCUUCCUGCCCGCGGCUUUCCGCCGGGUCCGGCCGCCGGCUGCUUGGGGGUUUAAUUGCCCCGCUUAUUGCCCCUGCCGGAGCCCUUGGUGAGGGGGGCGGUGACUGCCGCCGCCGCCGCGCCUUGUACACAGCACAGCCCGCCGCCGCAGAACCCCGCCCCCGGGAUCGGGCCUUGCGGGGCCCUGCUCCAGCCCGGCCGCGCGUUCAUCCCCGCUGUUUGCCGGGUUAAAUGAAUCAAGUGCCCUCGGUGAAAAGCGCCGGCCCCCGUGCCCGGAUAACACGUGGGUUUGGUGCUAGACGGAAAGCCCCGCGGGCAGGCGGCAGGAGGAGACUGCGCGGACAGGACCGCGGGGCGGAGACUCCCUGCGCGAAGAAAUCGCCCCGCGUCUUCCCCCGGCCGGCCGGCCGGCCCGCCGCGCCGCAAACACCGGCCCUUCUCAGGGGGAGCCUGCCAGGAUUGCUCCGGCUUCAAAAGUGCGGCCAAGUCAAAGCAAGACCCAGAUCUCCGCUCAAGUGAAAGGCAACGGAAGGAGGUGGACGCCUGGGUUGUAGCUCGGCAAGGCUCUCGGGGUGCAUCUGAUAUCUGUUAUUAGACCAGCUAACUGGCUGGAAAGUGUCUUCCUCAGCAAGCUUUCGGGGCUAAAACCCCUUCCUCGGGCUGAGGAAGCACCUGCCUGGGUGGCUGUAGCUUUGCACACUCAUCCUCCUUUCUCACCUCGGAAAGAAAUGAAUGGCAAAUCUCCCACUGAGGGAGUCACACAAGAGCGAGGCUGGAAGAGACCUCAGGGGUCCUUUUCACUUGCCACAGCAGAAGGAAGCAGCUUUUGAUGGCUCGUGUAAAGCAGCUCAGUCGUAAGCUUGCCACUGAAGGACUCCCUCGGGAGGGCCUGCUCAAGAGAACAGCUCGAAAAAGGGUAGCAGAGACCAUCUAUGCAUCUCCUACCGAGCAGGUACUUGGAAAAAGCCUGCUGGAAAAACCCGUGCUUCUGCAGCAGAAGAGGUGGAGAAGCCUCUGCGUCCCCAGUCUCGCCCUGACGCUAAAAUGUUCCAAAAAAUUCACUGGUAUCAGCAACGCAGCGGCCUGGUGAUUUCCCCGGUUGGCUUCCGACGACUAAUGAAAGACGCUUGUGAUCUGAAGAGUAACUUGCGUUUCCAGUCGCCAGCUCUCCUGCCUCUGCAGGAAGCCACUGAAGCUCAUCUCCUGCGGCUGUUUGAAGACUGGAACCAAUGUGCUCUUCAUGCUAAAAGAGCCUCCGUGCGGCCCAGCGACGUUCAUCUUGUGAGAUGCCUCCGGGGAGACAGAGCGUGAACUUCAUAGAGGCACACAGGACAACCCUUCUCAGGAAAGAUUUCUCUACAGCUUUCCUUGGGAGUCACCAUGCUGCUGUAGAGGGAAGCACUUGGUUCAUCUUUGUAGCUUUGUUUGUUUUUACAUUUUUAGUUUUUUAAAAAUUUUGUUAAAUAGCCUUUCAGAUGUCUCGAAUACAUGGCUAUUACCCUUUUUUUUUUUAAGGCGAUGGGAGAAGCUGAUGGUUUCUCCAAACAGGAAUGCAAAGUUCCCUUUAAUGUUCUCCUCUCCGUAACAUUAAGAUACACUGCUGUUGUUAAGCGAGUUUCUUUGUGCUGGGAAUAAAUGUUUCGCAACAGACUAUCAAAAUAUAAAAAGAAUAAUGUAAAAAAUAAAGAUCUAUGGUAGUCAAGGUU